rnacentral:rRNA from 1 species
CACGUAGGGCGCAAGCGUUGUCCGGAAUUAUUGGGCGUAAAGAGCUCGUAGGCGGUCUGUUGCGUCCGCUGUGAAAACUCGGGGCUUAACCCCGAGCCUGCAGUGGAUACGGGCAGACUAGAGGUAGGUAGGGGAGAAUGGAAUUCCCGGUGUAGCGGUGAAAUGCGCAGAUAUCGGGAGGAACACCGGUGGCGAAGGCGGUUCUCUGGGCCUUACCUGACGCUGAGACGCGAAAGCGUGGGGAGCGAACAGG